rnacentral:rRNA from 1 species
GCCUACGGGGGGCAGCAGUGGGGAAUAUUGCACAAUGGGGGAAACCCUGAUGCAGCAACGCCGCGUGAGUGAAGAAGUAUUUCGGAAUGUAAAGCUCUAUCAGCAGGGAAGAGAAUGACGGUACCUGACUAAGAAGCCCCGGCUAACUACGUGCCAGCAGCCGCGGUAAUACGUAGGAUGCGAGCGUUAUCCGGAUUUAUUGGGUUUAAAGGGUGCGUAGGCGGUCCGGACAUGCAGCGGGAAAAGCCCG